UUAGGUUUCAAUGUUUCUUCUUUUCUAUUGAAAUUGUUUCCGUAUUUAUGGAUUUUAAUUGUUUUAAUCAUUCUGUUGUGAUUUCCAUCUAACAGUAAAUGUUCAGCCACAUCAGACAGAAGUUUCAGCCAUUUUGGAGGUGCAGUUUUUAGUUGACAGUCGUUUGAGUGAGUCGAUGUGGGUGUCUUUGUGAAAAUGGAAAAAAAUGAGUAGCGAGCAGUUAUUAAAUUUUUGUUUUUGAAAGGCAAUACGCCUACGCAAAUCAAAGAUGACUUAGACUCUGUGUAUGGAGACUCUACACCAUCAUUUACCACAGUGAAAUUUUGCGAAGCUGUAUUUAAACGUGACCGUAAGAAUUUGGGAAACGGUGAAGUUCUCCAAAUAGUGAGUUCAACAGUCAAAAAAAGCAAAAACUGUUUUUUCGGCUGGUAAAGUGAUGACGACUGUUUUUUGGAAUAAUCAUGAAGUUAUCUUAAUUGAUUAUCUUCAAAAAGGAAAAACCAUUACAGUACCAUCAUUACUUGACAAGCUGAAGGCAGAAAUUGCGGAAUAACGGCCACAUUUGUAGAAAAAGAAAGUCCUGUUUCAUCCCUUAUCUAAAAACUGCACACAGAUAGGACAGAUAUUUUCAUCAAAUAAGGAGGCAAUCAUCUGUGUUGUGAACAAUUAUUUUGCAGAGACAAACGCCGAGAACUAUUUCGAUGGGUUAGAGAGAUGGGAGCAUCGCUGGGAGAAGUGAGUAGAGAUUCAUUGACAAGAACUUUAGUGUAAAGUGACACUGCGUUGAAACUGACCAGUAUAUCUUCUACAUCAAGAUGUAAUCCUUUCAAUAUAUCAACAAAAUGAAUGGAAUCUUUGAUAAAGGUUGGGGUGGACCUCAAUCAUUUAUUGAGGAAAGUGAAGUCAUACGUGCAUGUCUCCUUUGAUAUAAUUUUGACACACAUGUCACAUAUGUAACUUAGUAUAAUAAAAUUAUUUUUUUA